rnacentral:lncRNA from 1 species
GGUAGAAGGGGUGAGGAGAAGAGAGAGAGAAAGAAUGAAGUUCUUGUUCCAAUGUCCAUGCUGUUCUUGUUUCUGUUUCAUGAAGCCCCAAAAGGGCAAACCAAAAGCAAAAGUGGAAGAAGCAAAACCAAAAGCCAAAGUGGAAGAAGCAAAACCUAAAGAUAAGAAGGUGGAAGAAGCAAAACCAAAAGAGAAAGAAGAAAGCACGCCAGAAUGAAAGCAUAGAGGACAUGGGAUGAUGAUGCAGUUAUACUGUUCUGAUGCAAGUAAUAUUGUUCUUCAUUUACUUAAUUUACUUCUAGUCAUAAUUUAUGGUGUGCAGUCUUUUAACUCUUUUGAAAAAAGCACCUCCUAAAUAUUGUAAUCGUAUGACAAAAUAUUUGCACUUUAUUCUCUCUGAAAUGCAAACCUAGUCUUCAUUAUUAUGUAUGUUUAGAUCCUUUGUCGCACUCAUGUUGGAUUCUCAAAAAAUACAUACUUUUUAAAAGAUACAAUGUAGAAAUUUUGAAGUAUAUGAGAAACAUAACUUGUUAAUAGUUAGAUUUCUCUUAACUAAAUUCCUCAAAUGAUUAUCAAAUUUAGAGUUUUUUUUCCCUUUAAAGGUCAAACAAAAAAUUAUUUUUUGUUAGUGUAAAGUCACUCGAAAUGAAGAUAGAAUCUCAAAAAAUAACUAUAGAUAGAAAAAACACAUAAGCAACUUUUUUAUACUAUACGAAUCCAAGCGAUAAAAGGCUAAAGUGAAUCCUCAACAACAAUUUCAAUUUUAAGAAAGAUGACAUGAUGAUUGACUACGGGGACAGGGCAUAUCUCAUUCAGAGUGUGUUUUAUUGAAAAUUUGGUACUUUAAAUUUCCGUUUUGUCAGUAGAUUGCAGAUACACAAUGGCAUCUGCACUAAACAUACAUCUUGAACAAGUAAUAUAUUCAAGUCUUUUAUUUUUUUAUUUUAAAUAAAGGCUGUUAAUUAAUCAAGAUCAGAAGACACAUAAUCCUGAUCACUUGAUCUAUUAAUUAAGACAAAAUUUAUUGCGACUUAGUAAGCUUCAUUUGUAUAUGAAUAUAAAAUCACUACUUGAAACUACAAAUUUGGGUAAGGGUUGAUUUGAAGUUGAAAUUAUGUUUGGAUAUAUAAUUUAACUUUCAAAAAUUACUAUUUUUUCUUAUAAAUUUGAAAAAAAAUUCUCAGAAAUUGUGAAAUCUAUGAAUUUUUUUUCAAACUCCUUUAUAAUCUUAUAAAAGAAGCAAAUGAUAAGUCAUAAAUCCAAGGUAUUGGAAUAUCCUAAGGCAACACAUUAGUAUUUAACAUAGAUUUCAUGUCCCUUUUAUAAAAAUUUGCUUGUAAAUACGUGUUGUUAUAAAUGUUGAAAUGCAUAUAACUUCAGAAAGAUCCACUAAUUCAAUAAAUUAACAAUAGUACUCUUAGGUGUCGUUUGGUUUGAAAAUGGUUAUCCCGCGAUAAUUAAUACCGGAAUUAGUUAUCCCGGGAUUACCCGGGAUAACUUAUUGUUAAAAUUGAUCUUGGGCCUAACUCACACCUCAAAAGCUAGCUCAUGAGGAGGAGAAUUGCCCAAGCCUUAUAAAGAGAUCACCCAUCUCAUUAACCACCAAUGUGAGACUUUCUUUUCAAUCUUUUUAACAACCCACCUCACGCCCAGACCUCAACUGGCCGUUGACAAUACCAUGUUAAAAUUGGGCUUGAGCCUAACUCACACCUCAAAAGUUAGCUCAUGAGGAGGAGGGCCCCCAAAUUGAGAUGUCGGGGAGAUUGUCCACGCCCAGUUGAGGUCUGGGCCCCAGUUAAGGUGUGGGCGUGAGGUGGGUUGUUAAAAAAAUUGAAAAGAAAGUCCCAAAUUGAUGGUUAAUGAGAUGGGUGAUCUCUUUAUAAGGCUUGAAUAAUCCUUUUCCUCGUGAGCUAGCUUUUGAGGUGUGAGUUAGGACCAAGACCAAUUUUAACACUUAUCCCCACCAUGUAUAUGAGAUAAGUUAUCCCGGGACUAAGGGGAAAAUGGUGGAAUAAGUUAUCCCGGGUUGGAUUAAUCCCUCCAAGCAAACAAAGGAAAAUGUGUUCUUUUAUUUUAUCCCGGGAUAAUUAGUUAUCCCAGGAUAAUUAGUUAUCCCGGGAUAACCAUUUUCAAACUAAACGAACCCUUAGUACCAACAUCGAUUGUGGUGUAGUGGUAGGACUAUUCCACCCUUAGCCAGAGAUCUCGGGUUCGAGUAUAAGUAUGGAGAAAUUUUGGUUGGGAGUGUCACCCUCAAAAUGGGCCCUAUAAUGUGCGAUCCGAAUUAGUCGGAGCUUCAAUACGAAAACCGAACACUAGGUGGAAAACAAAAAAGAAUAGUGCGUGGUCCUAGUAACAAUCUAUUCCAUAAUAUAAUCAUUCGAACAAUCAAUUCACAUCGAGUACUUGUCUAGUUUUACAAAUUUCAAAAUUACAAACUUUUUUCUCGCAAAAUUAAAAUUAUGGAUCAAGUUUUGAUUUCUACAAUAAUUAAAACCAUAAAUCUGAAAUUGAAAUCUACCCUUUAGGUUAAUUUGAUAUUUGAAAACAACAUUUCAAAUAAAAGUUGAAGUUUUUUUUGAAAUAUUAUAAAUAAAUACAAAUUUAAAAUCUAAACAUCAAAUUUAUAGUUCAAAUUGCAUUGCCAAACACCUGUUUAGUACUUGCAGUUUAUUUUAAAAUAAAGAAAAACGGGAGAAUGAUCGCAUUUCCAGUGUAAUGAAUAACUUUUUCAAGUGGCAACAAUUUUGUGGACUCUAAUAACAAACUAAUUUGAUAAAUCCAGGAUCCAUUUUAUGGUGGGUCUUCUGAAAUUAAAAAUUGAGUUCACCACUCAAGUCCAAAAGAAAAGGUCUCAAAGGACAAUGUUGGAACUAUUGCACUAGUACCUAUAUAGGGGAAAUUUUAGAAAUAACAAACUUGAGUUUAUAAUUACUUCUUCCAUAAUAAUACUUUGCUAGUUACAUUCCUUGUGGUGUUCACGGUUUGAUUAAAAAUCAAAUCGAACCGUAAAUCAAAUUAAAUUGAUUAAAAAAAUUUGAUAUUUAGUUAGGUUUGGUUUGGUUUAAUUUUUGACAUGACCUACCCUGGGACCUUGUCCUAAUGGGCGUCCCAAGUUCGAUCAGGAUCGGAGACCACCUCUGUUACCCAACCCAACCUCCAACCUCCAGCCACCUGCCCUGAGUUGGUUGAAUUCCGAGCAUGUAACAAGAUAGUGUAAAAGCUCACAUAAAAGCUCUGGGAUAAGAUCACAACCUCGUCCGAUCCAAUCGAGUCACCAUCCCAUACCAAUAAUCCAACCAUACCAAACCAUACCAAAACAAGGGCCAUAAACUAAUCCAUAAUCAAAGAUAAUGUUCCAAAACGUAAUAUAAUUAAUACCAAAAUGAAAUAUGACGGAACAGUGAGAAAUUAUGUCCGAUGAUGCAGACCUCCCAGCUUAUUCCAAUGCCAAGGUUGACACCUAUGUCCGAAAAAAGAAAUAAUAUUAGAUUCAGAAUAUUAUUGGUAUCUUAUAAACCUAAAUAAAGAAUAUACAAAUUUAUAUGACGUUUUACUAUAACAAAGAAAGUUAUAUAAUAGUUUACUCGAAGUCUUACCAGGUCUAAGCGGAGAGGUUUAUCAAGAACUAAGACAAAAAGAUAAUAGAUUAUCAUAAGUACAGAUCAAAAUAUUUUACUACAAAGACGAAAUAAAAAUAAAAUAAAUUUGGACACAAAAGAACGCUAUUUAUCUAGCUUAAUGAGAAGACCUCGUAGAACUACUAUGUCCUACAAAGAGAUUAAGGAAACAUUAAAUGACCUAUAUUUAGAUUAUAAGAGACUUAAUAAUACAAAAGAAGAUCAUAUAAGACUAGAUCAGCUAAUCACCAUAAUAUCCCGACUAUAAUAUAAAUUGAUAGGAUAUCUCAAAUCUAGGGAUAAAUGAGAAUAUACCUGUGGGGUAGAAGUAUACAACUAAAAUAUUUGUACGUAAAUCGAGAAAUAAUACUAAGAAGAAAGGCGGUAGAAUUAGAAAAAGUUUUAAGUAAUUUUUUGAGUAUACUAGAAUCAUCGAAAACACCAAAAUCAUGACUUUUAAAAGAAUAUAUAAGUGCCUUAAAGGGGGAAUUAGAAGGUAUUAGGAGUGAUAUAGAAUGAUAUAAUAAACAAAUAAGACUUCAUAGAGAACAGUGUAGAGAAAUUAUUCCUUUAGGAUAAAAGUAAGCCACAGUAAAUAAAAAAGAUAUAUGAAAACACAUCCUUUUGCUCGACUAGUACAAAGACCAUAUAAUCAAUUAUAUAAAGAAUUGAAACAACAACAACAACAACAAUAACAACCCAGUAUAUUCCCAUAAAGAAAGAAUUGAAACAAAGAAACGAAAUUUUAAAAAAUAGAACAAACCUUAAUAAAUCAAAUAGAGGUAGUAGAAACUAUAGAAUUAUCAGAAGCAAUUAUAAUUUCAGAACCUAUAAAUCUUUAGACUGCAUAGAUCAUAUAAACUUGUUAAAUUAUAAAUUAGAAGGUAUUAGAUAUUGCAUAGAAUAUAGAAAUAUUAGAAUAAAAUCCAUUAGAGAACAAUGUAUUAGCAAUACUUUUCGUUAGGGUAAGAAUAGUGUUGGAAUUGAUAACUUAAAGAAAUUAGAGUAUUUAGAUCUAAAAAUUCAGAUGGAGAAGAAAUAUAGAUGUUUUAAAGAUAAUUCACUUAUUAGGUGUAAUUUUAACAACGGUGAACAUAUAUUAUAUGGAGAAGAUCCACAACCAAAUACUAUUACAGACCUUAUAAUAAAUCUAGAAGAACUGGUUCAAAAGAAAAUACUAAAAUACUAAAGACUCUAGAAAUAUUUGAAGAUCUGCAAAACAAACAAAAGAAACUGUUAGAUAAAGUAGAAUAAAAUUUUGAUUUCCUAAAGAAUUAACAAGCAGAACUAGAAAAGAAAGUUAAAGAUUUAAUUAAUAAAGAUAAAGAGGGUAACCUAGAACAUCCUGAAAUAAAACUAGUGCUACAAGAAAUAAGAAAAGAAAUGAAUCAAAUAAAAUAAAUAACACUCUCAUGAAUAAUAUUUCUAUAAAUGAUCAACUCUACUUAGCAAUAUUACAAAAGGCAACACAAAUUCAAUCAAACCCCAAAGGAUUAUCAGAUUAUCAACCUCAAGGAAAAGCAGACUCCAUAGUCAUAAAAUUAAAUAAUAUUAUAAUAUUGUUAUUAUUAGAACUUAAUAAAAAUCUAGAAAAAUCAAAACAACAAGUUAGCCAAGAUAAAAAUAUAGAAGAGUUAAUAGAGCAAUUAAAGAAAAUAGAAUUAAUCCUUCUGAAAGAAAAAGAAAAAGCUAAAACGACUAAACCUAAAACAUGGACCUUUUUCCAACAUCCAUAAGCAAGCCAAGAUCAAGUUUUAUCAAAGACAGAUUAACAAAUAGUGUGAUAUCCAAAAUAACAAGUAGACCAAAAAUGACUUCAAGAUAACAACUAGAAGAAAUAGUAGACGUGGAUAAAGAUAUACAAUUAUUCCAACAAAAUAAAUUAAAACUUUUGAGAGCCAAAACUUCAUACAAUGAAGGAAUAUUUUCAACAGCAUAAUUAUAUAGGUGUUAUAGAGAAGAACAACUAUGUGUUAUUAGAGAAAAUAGCUAUAGUAUAAAUUUAAUAAGCACAAACUCUUUAAAAGAAAUUACAAAAUUAAACUUGAGCCUUCUGCACAUGAGACUAAUAGUAAUAGGAUUAAAAGGAUUAACUAGGAAGAACAUAGGAAUUAAAGUAUUGGUUACAAUAUACGAUAAUAGAUGGUCAGAUUCAAAAAGGUCUAUAAUAUAAAUAAUUGAAGUAGACAUGUCAUGUAAUGGAGGACUUUUUUAUUAUAGUCCAGACUAUAUGACAAAUUCUCUAGAAUUUGGAAAGUACAUAAAAAUAGGUAUUCAGACUAAAGGUUAUGAAGAGAUGAAUAAUGGAAAUAACUUACUAAUAUGUGUAGGUUUUAGUGGAAAACUUUCCACUAAUAGUGAUACAAAGUUUAAGUUAAAAAUAGAGGACGUAGUAAGCUUAAUGAGGAAUAAAGGAAUAAGACUAAUAAAGCCAUUAAAGAUAAAUUCAGAAGAAUAUGCACGACUAGCAUAGGAUCUAGAGAAAUUUAGUAAGAAAGAAAUACUAAACCCAACUGAUCAUUUUAUGUAUACGAAUAAAAAAGAAAGAACCUCAGUCAGAUUCACCGACUAUACAUAUACAAAUAAAAGAGAGAUAGAUGAGGAAGCUGAAGCAAGUGAAAAUAAUAACUAUAUGAAUAUAGAAAUAAUAGAAGAAGAUGGUUUCGAAGUAAAUAAGUCCAUAAUGAAAACAGAAUCCCUAUACGAAAUAAAUAACAAUAGAGUGUUUAAAUGUAUAGGCUGUAAAAUAAGAAAUCUAAAGCUUACCGAAGUAAAAAAACAUUUUAUCAAAUGUAAAUUAAGAACAGAUAAUUAUGGUUAUACAUUCAAAAAGAAAAGCAAAAAAGAAGAUUUAGAAAUAAUUUACAGUAUAGAUAAGAUAGAAAGUAUAACUACAAAAAAUUUACCAAGAUAUAGAGUAUUUGGAAUAAAUCCUAAAGAAUAGACAAAACAAAAUAUAAAACCCAGAGGAAGAAGAAUGCCAAUAAAAGAGCCCAUUAGAUUACAAGAGGGUGGUAAUAAGGAAAAUAUUUUAAAUCUGGCGACUCAUGACCCUCAGACGUGGAAUACUGCAAUAGACCUAUGAAAAAAUCUAGUUGUAGCAAAUUACAUACAAGCUAAUCAAGAACCAGAUAUAGAAAAUAUGUAUAGAUAUCUAGAAACAUUCAUAGGAGAAACUACUAAGCCGUUAUAGGAAGCCUACAAGACAAACUUCUCCGAAGAUUUUCAAAGAUUGGUAGAUUUAGGAUCCAAUCCAUAUAAUUUUGUAAAUAAAGUACAUACUUUACUAAUAGGAGAAGAUCCCAAUAGUGGAUUAAUAGUAUUACAGAAAAAGGCUUUAAUAAAUUUAGAGAAAUUAAGUAUAAAUAAUUGGUCAAAAAUUAAGGAAUUUCUAAAUGAGUAUUUCUAUUAUUGUAUCAUUAGUGGAAACUCCUUUGACUAGUCUCGAGAAAAAAGAUUGUUUAAUAAAUUACUUGGAACCUUAGUAAGAGAAAUAUAAAAAAAUGAUCUAAAAGAGAAGGAGUAGUACAAAACUCGAGACACUAAAUGGUCAACAAGACAGAGAAUACAACAUGUAAUGGAAGUAUUACAAGAAAAGUGUACAAAUACACAAAUACAAAAAUAAUUAAAAAGAAGUGAUACAGAUUUCUAUAAAAAUAUAUAUACUACACAACAAUAUGAUCAAGAUUAUAAGAAAAAAAGAUAUAAAAAACUAUAUAAAAGGGAUUAUUGUCCUAAGAAAAAAAAUUAUUUAAGAAAGUCAAAAGAAAAAAAUCAUUUCUAAACAAAUAGAGACAUAUAAGAAAAUAUAACACCAAUAGAACUUAUAAAAAUAAAUUAGAAUGUUUUACUCAUGGAAGUAUAGAACAUUUAGCAAAUACUUGUCCAAAAAGAAAUAAUAGUAGAUCUAGAAAUGCACAACUAAUAGACGAUGUAAAUGAAAAUCUAAUAAAUAUAGAUGAAUAUAUGUCAGACAACCAAAGCAUAUACUCCAUCAGGAGUAUGGAGGUAUUUGAAGAAAAAAAAAUACCUAUUGGAUUCCUCGGAUUCUGAAGGAGAAGAAUUUAUAGAUGAAGUAGGAUUAGAAAAUAUAAUUCCAAACUAUCAUGAUUUAGUCAACUUUAUAGAAGUCUGUGAACAUGAAUUUGUAAGAGGUAAGAGACUAGACAGUAACCAAUGUUUUAAUUUGGAUGGUUUUCAAGUAAAAAUAAAAGGGCAAAAUGCAGAAAAUGUUAUAUAGAAGGAUGCAUAACUUAUAUAGAAAAAAACUCACAAAUACAAAAACUAGAAAUUUAAAUAGACAGGAACCAAUGAAUAAAAUAACGGAUUAUAAAAUAUUAGAACUAGAAGAAAGACAAAGAAGGUUGGAAAUAAGAAUAAAUAGACUCGAGAAAAAUAAAGAAGUAAUUAAGGAAGAAGAAGUAUUAGAAAUAAAAUUAUCGAGUACAUCCGUGAAGGAAAUAGUGGAUAAUCAAAAUAAACAGAAAAAAAUCAAUGAAUAUACCAUUCGAAGGAAUGAUAAGUAAUGGAGAUAAAAAGAUUAGUACAGUCAAAGUUUUAACAAGAAUAAGGAUUCAAAAUUAUGAGUUUGAAACAUUAGCCAUAGUAAAUUCAGGAUGUACAUGAAGUAUAUUAAAAGACUUAAUUUUGCCACCAUGACUAAUUAAAGAAUUACUAAAGCCACAAGACUCCAUGCCAAUGGAUGGAACUUAUAACACCUAUACAAAGUAUAUACCAAGAGCAAAAGUAAGUUUUAUUAACACUUGCAAAAAAUUCUAUCAGUCAUUAUUUAAACUUAAUGGAAUACUGGUUAGAGACUUAAACAUAAAGGCAGACUUUGUGUUAGGAUUAGAUUUUAUGGUACGAAAUAAUGGAGGAUGUUUUGAUACUAGAGAUUGGAUAAUUUUUGAGAGUAAUAUUACUCAUUCACUAGUAUAGACAUGACCUAUACUAACUAAUUAUAGUUUUCUUAAGGAUAAAUCAGAAGAAGAAAGCUCAAAUAGUCAAAUAAAACCCGACAAAUCACUAGAAUGUGAUAAGGGAGAAAAUUGUACAUGUAGUAACAAUAAAAAGAUAACAAUGUAUGAACAAUUAAAAGAUUUAUUAACAGUAGAAGAAUUAGAAAAAGACUACACUAUAAUAGAAAUGGAUAUAAAAUUAUACAAUUUUCAGAGAGAAAUACAACUGAUAGGUGUAAUGCCCCGUAAUUUGGGCUAUAAUAUAGACCAUGAUUUCGAUGUGUUGUUAAUCCCAAAGCUAUAAAAUCCUAUCCUGAUACGGCAUGUUAAUUAUUGUGUGGCAUGUGAAUCUACUCAAGCUUGAGUUUAGACCAUAGAGGUCCUUCAACUCAAGGGCGAGUUGAAACUAUUUCGAUCGACUAAGUUUUAGUGGAUGUUGUAAAGUGUGUCAGCUUCCAUCAAUCAUAAAUCUCUGUAUAUGUCGAAUUAGGAAGCCUACUAUGUGUCAAAUGAUAGGUAUUAGAGUUAGCUUUCCAACGAUACCAAUUUGGCUAUAAUCCGACACCCGAGUAAGAAGUUAUGGCCCUUCAAAGUGAUAAGCGUCGCCUAACCAUCGCCCAUGGCCACCAGAAGGCAUAGGAAAUAGCCUACGUGGCGCCUAUGUAAACAUAGGUGAUAGCCUAGGCGGCGCCUAUGUGAACAUAGGCAAUGGGAUGGGCGGUGCCUAUGUAAAGAAUUCUAGUGACUUAAACACUCCGUGUUGAGGACAAAGUGGUCCUUUUCCACCCUUACUUAGCCCUAAAACACGAAAUCUAAUUCUAAGGACCCCAAAAUACAUAUUAUUUCAUCAAAACUGCUUAAGGAUUCUCCUUAGGGUUUUAAAAUAAAAAUCCAAAUAGUUUAAGAUUUGACCGUAGGUUUUCAAAGGUAAUUACUGAUAACGCUCAAUCUACAGCUCUCGUGGGAGUGUAAAGCGGUCGUUAGCAAAUAUAGAACCCAACCUGGGUUGGGUAUCGAUCCCACAGAGAAUAGCUUGGCCAACAAGCAAGAGAAAUUACUAGACUUUUAGUGCAAGUCUCGUAGGAAAGGGGGGAUUGUAGUAUGUAACCAAAACAAGAAGGUAAGAACUGAAAAUAGCAAAAUAAAGAGAGAUUGUCACGUGUGUUGUAAACAAUGAGAAUUGAGGCGUUGGGGUUAUGUCCACCUUCUGAGGUAUACGUCUCUAUUGGCUAUGAGUGUGUAGAGUCUUGACAUGUAAUUGCUUAUAGAGAAUUGUAGUCGAUGGUAAAUCCAAGCGUCUCUCGACCUAAACAAGGACUAUUUCACUUUAACUCUCUCGAGCUUAAAGCGUGACUAACGGUACGAAUUCUCCAAGAAGUUAGUCCAGGUACGGCACUAGCUUUUUAAUAGGAAAGGGUGUCCUACUACCUUGACAUUAUCUCUUUUCCAGACAAAUAACUUUUCUCUCGAACAAGUCAGAUGUUAGACUGGCGUUGGUCUAUGCGUCUUCUUUUCUAGACAAAUAACCUUUCUCUCGAACAGGUUAGAUGUUAGAAUGGCGUGUUCUUGUGUUUGAACCGCAAAGAAUGUAGAUUUAAGAUGAAGAGAAUAAUGAUAUAAGCAAUAUACUUGUCUUGAACUCACAAACUCAUAGCUAUAGAUAGUAACUCAUUCGGCUUCCAUAACCCCAACUAAGAGAUUUAGUUACCCAUGAAUGCGAAGGAUAUCACGUUUUGCAUGGUGGAUGGCGUGAAUAGUAGGUGUUUGGCGUGUGGUUUUAGUGAUUCCGUAGCAAGUAACAAUUCUCUUGUUGUGGAAUUUAAGAGUAGAAGAAUGAAGAAUUGAGAAUGGGUUGUAGGAAGAUGUCUUAAUUGUAAGGAGAUGAAUGAAUUGUCAGAAUGUCUCCCUUCUUGAAAAUCUCUAACAUGAUAGGGUAUUUAUAAUACUCCUAUCCUACUCCUACUAAACUAAUAAAAUAAAUAACCAAAUCCUAAUAUACUAAUGAAAUCCUUGACCCAAUUGUACUAGGGUAAGGUUACAAAAUUAUAAUCCAAAUAGAAUGAUGAAACACAUAACCUAAUUGCACUAGGUUAAUGUAUUAUGGCAAAAAUCCAGCUUUGUGUCUGUAAGUCCCAAAGUCUUCAGAAAUGCUGUUUUAGCCCGGGACAGAUUUUCCAUGCAGCAGAUUUAGUCCUUUAUGCGUCCAGCUCCUUUCCAUCUCGUUUGUGAGCUUUCUUUUGCGUCAAGUAAGCCAUAAAUUGCUGUAUUUUGCAUCAUUUAUACCUGAAACUUUCCUAAUCACAUUUGUUAGCUCAUUUACAGGAAAAAGGACUAAAAGUGUACGAAAUAGAUAAUUAGUUCUCGAAACUAGGCUAAAAUAUGGGCAAAAUAUAUUGAUAUAGGCGCGUAAUUUCGCCUAUCAUCAACACCCCACACUUAGAGCUUUGUUCGUCCUCGAACAACAUAUCAUGUCCUUCUAAGCAUUGACUUAAGGUUUUUACAGAAACAACACAAAACAUUCUUCAAGACAAGCACAACAAUUAUCAACGAAGAGUAGCUUUCCGAUUAUAAGUAGAAACAAUUUAACCUCAAGCAUAGACUCGUGAUGGUGAUCAACUCGCAUGCAAACGUUUAAGGUACAUAGAAUCAUAUACAACUAUCCAAAACUCAUCAACCAUGUGUGUCUCACAAUAUAGUACCCAUAAUCACUCACAAGUAUAGCAUAUUUUUCAAACAUGGGCAGCAAAGUAUCCUUGCGCUCACUCUCACAAAGAAUUCAUAUGUAGCAGCUAAUGACCAUAGGCUUGCCCUUAAUGUAGUACUCCACUAAAUGUCGGAAUGUUAAGGUUAGGAUCAAGUAGGUCUUUUGAUGGUUGUAAUGUAGGCUAAGGGACGGGUAGGAUCAACUAUUUUGGCCAGAAAUAGUGACUAAGUUCCUAAGCACUUUAAUACAUCACAUUGUAUUAUUGACACUUUUUUGUAGCACCCUUGUUCUCCUCUUUUGUUUUUCAAUUUUAAAGCACAACUCACUUUUCAGCUUUCUUUUCCUUUUUCUUCUCACAACAUACCUCUUAUGAUAGCACUUUCUUUUUCAUAACAUAUUCAAGCACCAUUACAAUUUAAAGCAUCAUACUCAACCAAUUUCCUCUUAUGUUGUCACAUGACUUUUUCACUUUAAAGCACUUAGGAAUUUGGAUCAAAUUACGGUCUUGAAAAAAAAAUGAAUUAGGCUUACAUACAAGGUUGUCAAAGAAAUAGGCUAAAGGCUCAAAAGGGUUUAACUAGGAUGAUGUCCAUGGGUAGGUAAAACUGAAGGUAAACAAAUAUAGGUUGCCAAAGAAAUGCCUAAAUCAUAUCCUAAACUUACACUCCUUAUUUUCGCUUUGCAUACAUACCAGGCAAGUUCUAGCAUCAGCCACAUACAUAGAAUAUACUAUUAUCUCACACACACAAGGCACAUGGUCGACUUGAUUGGUAGCAAUAUAGACUCUCAACCCAACAAGUGAAGGAAUUGAAUCACACACUAUCACAUAAUGAGUCACAACUAGAGCCUAAAUGUCUCAAUAGUCACAAUUGUAAUACAUACUAUUGUUAUAAUCUCAUGCUGCCUAUUAAAAUAAUUUCAUGCGAGGCUAGAAAAAUUUUAACUACUAAAAACUAAAAAAAAAACGUCACACGAAAAAAAUCACAAAAAAAAAUCGGACUCAAAACAAAAUAAAUAAAACAAAAUAAACAAGCAAACAUACAAAUAUAGCAUGCAGAUUCUGCCGACACCCCACACUUAGACUAGACACUGCCCUCAGUGGAAAAUAAAGUCGAAGAACCUGAUUAGUCGGACUCUUCCUCAAUGUCAUACCCCCUUCGUUCGAGUCAUCGUAAGAGUCAUCGUCAGAGUUCUCCUCAGCAUCAGAAUCAGGCAAGCGUCUAUCAUCAUCAGUUGGCACGUCAUCAUCAAGAGGUUCCUCGAAAUAUACUCCCACUCCACACAUCUCCCGGGCAUGUCUGUUCAUUGGGUAGUCGUGGUCCAGCUGUUGGAGCUCUUCAGCAGUUGGAAUACGUCCACCACUCAUCAUAGUGAAUCUCGUCAUGCCAUAGAGAUGACGGAAGAAACUCUCGUCACGAGCAUGUCUCUCCGCAGUGGUAAGGUUGACUCCAUGCGUUGUUUCAGCAUCUUUGACCUUGGUGAGGUCAACCUUCUUUGGGGUAUGUGGGAGUUUGUGGUCAGCUGGUUCCUCCUCUAUAUCCUCCUUCCGCAACAUUGCUGUCAACAAAUUGCCGAAUGUGAAAUAGGACCAUUCACAUUCACAUCAGUCUGGCUUUCCUCAUGGUGGAUCGAAUGAUUGCCCCAAAGUUGAUAGGGACAUUCGUCAUUAAUGAAUAAACCAGGCACACUCUAUCUCUCGAUAUCUUUGUGUAUUGCGUCCCAGGAAUGAGGCAUGAGUUGACAAUGCGCAUCCAGAUUCUUGCUUCCCUAUUUAGUGGAGCAUAGGGGAAUGUGUUGUGACGGCCUGUUUCCUUAUGUCUGCCCCAUCUCGCCAUCGAUCUGCUUCCACAAAGCGUGUGUCUUAUAGCUCUGUAAGGAGGUCUGCUGUACAGCUCUUUGUAUGGUGCAGUGUCGACCGAAGGUAGGCCUAGAAACGAGUUGAUCCAAUCCGCUGUAAGCUGUAACACUUGGCCCCGAAUUUUGACUUCGUUGCCUGUUGUGUUUGGCGACCAGUUGGCAUAAAACUCUCUUGUCAAGUCAAGAUUGCACUCUCCCAUGUCACGGAAGAUGAAAUCCAGCUUCAAAGCCAUAAUCUUAGCCAACAUUUGCGGCUCCUUCUUUGCUAAGGUCUCCUUAUUGAUUAAGUCGACGUGCACAUAUUUCUUUUCUUUGUUGCUGCUGUACCAUGCCUUGGCUUCUUCCUCAAGAACCCAUUUGAUUCCGAACAUUCUGCGUGGUAGGUGUGCGGAAGAUGAUUCGCCUUGGUCUUUUCGGCUUCUCUUUUUGUCCUUGCGGGUUGUGGUAGCCUUCUCCUUGCCUUGCCUUGCUUUCGGUGCCAUUGUACCGCCUUUACCAUACAACGCGACCAAAUCGUCAAUUGAAAUCAAUCUCCUCGUUGCAUACUUCUUACACCUAUAUUUGCUCAAACAAAUGAAAACGAUUAGUACGAUGGGUUGCCUCCCACCAAGCGCCUUAGUUUUGGUCGUGGCACGACUCUUAUUUUUGGAUUUUCAUUUAUCAAAAAGAAAAAAUACUAAAACGACAAAACGAUAAAACAAUAAAACGAAGGGUUGCCUCCCAUCUAGCGCCUUAUUUAUUGUCGUGGCUCGACGUAGUAAUCUCGAGUACUUAGACUUCGUCGAGAUAAGUGAUGGCCAUGUCAUUUAUCGAGUCAAGAGGACCGAUAUAUGGCUUAACACGUUGGCCAUUCACCUUGAAGAUAACACCCUCAUUAUUUUCCAAUUCGACUACUCCAAACGAGUAGACGUGGGUGACUUUAAAUGGACCAGACCACUUUGAUUUUAACUUACCUGGGAAGAGCUUGAAUCUGGAGUUAAAGAGUAGCACCAUGUCACCUUUUUGGAAGUGUCGUCGAACAAUCCGCUGAUCGUGAUACUUCUUCAUCCGCUCCUUGUAUAAAUCUGAUCUUUCAUAAGCAUGGAGACGGAAUUCAUCUAGCUCGUUCAGCUGCUCCAACCUCAGGUUCUUCACAUCAUCCCAAUUCAGAUUCAAGUGCUUCAAUGCCCAUAAUGCCUUGUAUUCAAGCUCGAUGGGUAGAUGACAAGCCUUCCCAUAAACUAGCUGAUAAGGUGACAUGCCAAUGGGUGUCUUGAAUGCAGUCCUAUACGCCCAUAGUGCAUCAUCUAGCUUCCGAGACCAAUCCUUCCGAUUCGCAUUGACCGUCUUGGCAAGGAUUUGCUUGAUCUCCCGAUUGGAAACCUCUACUUGUCCACUAGUUUGGGGAUGAUAAGGCGUAGCUACCUUGUGUUGCUUGACUCCAUACUUGGCCAAUACAGAUUUGAAUAGCUUGUUGCAGAAGUGAGAUCCUCCAUCACUUAUGAUAGUACGAGGUACCCCAAAGCGAGAGAAGAUAUUCUUCUUUAAAAACGCUACAACACGCUUUCCUUCAUUAUCGGCCAAUGCUACAGCUUCAACCCAUUUCGACACAUAAUCCACAGCAACCAAGAUGUACUUCAUUCCAAACGAAUUUACGAAUGGUCCCAUGAAAUCAAUACCCCAUACAUCAAAGAGUUCUACCUCCAGGAUUGUGGACAUGGGCAUUUCAUGGUGUUUUGAAAUAACACCUUGACGUUGGCAUUGGUCACACCUUCUCACAUAGUCGUGUGCAUCUCUGAAUAUUGUAGGCCAAUAAUAACCACUUUGCAAGACUUUUCUUGCUGUUCGAUUACCCGCAUGAUGUCCUCCAACUUGCGAAGUGUGGCAUGCUUCUAAUAUAGUGGGCACUUCGUCAUGGGAUAUACAUCGUCGAAUGAUACCAUCCGCACAUCUUCGAAACAAAUAAGGCUCAUCCCAAUAAUAGUGCUGAACGUCAUGCAUAAACUUCCUCCUCUGGUGGUAAGAUAAAUUUGUAGGUAACACAUUACUCACCACGAAAUUCGCAAAGUCGGCAUACCAUGGUAAGUCUUCUAUUGUUGUCGCUAAUAUCUCCUCGUCAGGGAAUGCAUCGCCAAUCUGAUUUUCUGAUUGCGCCACAUACUCAUUCUCAAGUCUAGAUAGGUGAUCAGCCACUUGGUUCUCGCAACCUCUUCUAUCUUUGACUUCGAAAUCAAACUCUUGCAGCAGCAACACCCAUCGAAUCAGCCUUGGUUUUGCAUCCUUCUUUGUCAUUAGAUACCUAAGAGCUGCAUGGUCUGUAUGAACGAUCACUUUAGUACCUAAUAGGUAGGCGCGGAACUUCUCAAACGCAUACACAACCGCUAAUAGCUCUUGUUCAGUGACGGUGUAGUUCCUUUGGGCUUCAUUGAGGACCUUACUCGCAUAGUAGAUAGGAUGAAAUAAUUUCUCCUUUCUCUGUCCAAGAACAGCACCAACGGCUACACCACUAGCAUCACACAUGACUUCGAACGGGAGCGUCCAAUCUGGUGUUACCAUGAUAGGGGCUUCAACGAGUUUUUCUUUAAGGCAUUCAAAUGCCUUUAAGCAAUCAUCAUUAAAGUCAAACUUCGCAUCUUUCUCCAAUAGCUUGCAUAAUGGACUAGAAAUUUUGGAGAAGUCUUUGAUGAAUCUACGAUAAAACCCAGCAUGGCCAAGAAAACUACGAACUCCCUUCACCGAAAUUGGAGGUGGUAGCUUCUCAAUUACCUCUAUUUUGGCGCGAUCAACCUCUAUUCCUUUUUCGGAGAUCUUGUGCCCAAGAACAAUUCCUUCUUUUACCAUGAAGUGGCACUUCUCCCAAUUCAGCACAAGGUUGAACUCUACACAUCUUUGUAAUGCCAUGCUUAAAUUCACCAAACAUGCUUCGAAAGACUCCCCAACAACUGAAAAGUCGUCCAUAAAUACCUCCAAAGUGUCUUCUACCAUAUCAGAGAAAAUAGACAUCAUACAUCGCUGAAAGGUGGCUGGUGCAUUACAUAACCCGAAUGGCAUACGUUUGAAGGCAAACGUACCAUAUGGGCAUGUAAACGUUGUCUUCUCUUGGUCUUCUGGUGCAAUAAAAAUCUGAUUAUAACCUGAAUAACCAUCAAGAAAGCAAAACCAUCCUUUUCCCGCUAAUCGAUCUAGCAUUUGGUCCAUAAAUGGCAUGGGGAAGUGAUCCUUGAGAGUCCAAGAAUUCAGCUUGCGGUAGUCCAUGCAUACUCUCCAUCCAGUGACGGGCCUGAGUGGAAUAAGCUCAUUCUUUGCAUUCGCAACCACCGUCAUACCUCCUUUCUUGGGAACACAUUGUACUGGGCUUACCCAUGUACUAUCAGAAAUAGGAUACACAACUCCUGCGUCUAACCACUUGAUAAUCUCCUUCUUCACCACCUCUUGCAUUGGUGGGUUUAGACGUCUUUGGUGUUCGAUGGUGGGUGUGCACUUUUCUUGGAGCUGAAUUUUAUGAGUGCAAAUUCCAGGUGGAAUACCAAGGAUAUCCGCAAUGGUCCAUCCAAUAGCUCUAAUAUACUUGCGUAAAAUUGCAAUAAGAGCUGCAACUUGUUGCUCACCUAAAUCGGCUGCCACUAUGACUGGAAGAGUGUUUCCGCUUCCUAAGAAUGCAUACUUCAAAUGGCUUGGCAGCUCCUUUAAUUCUAAUGUGGGUGGUUCUUCAAUAGAUGGCUUAGCUGGUGGUGUGGGUCGAUUCUUGAGAUCAAGAUCCAGCUUCUUAGGAGGAUAGCGAUAUGCUCCUAAUCCCGAUAGAGCACAAAUAUCAUCUUCAGAAAUUUCAGCAUCAUCAUCAUCUUCUUCCAUGAGCAAAACCUCCAAAGGAUCAUCAAGAAUUUGUUCUUCAGCAAGUAACUCAUCCUCGUCAUCAACGACAACAUCAGUCACAGAAAAUACACUUAGAUCUUUGGGUUGCUUCAUUGAUUUGCAAACAUCAAAGCGCACCACUUCAUCAUUUAUUCGGAAUGAAAGUUCAUUAGCUCUCAAAUCUAUGAGCACACUUCCCGUAGCAAGGAAAGGGCGUCCCAAGAUUAUGGGAACCUCUGAAUCUGCUUCGCAAUCCAAGAUGACAAAGUCUGCUGGAAAUAUGAAUGAAGAUACCUUCACCAAGACAUCGCAUAGAAUACCAACCGGUCGUUUUACCGACCUAUCCGCCAUAACAAGCUUCAUAUUAGUUGGUGUAGGAUCUCCCAACCCCAACUUCUUGUAGAUUGAUAAUGGCAUCAAGUUGAUGCUGGCUCCUAAGUCACAUAAUGCUUUAGCAAAGUCCAAAGAUCCGACGGUGCAAGGAAUAGUGAAAGCUCCGGGGUCGGCCUUCUUCUGAACUAUGGAUCGGGUAGCUAUUGCACUACAAUGAUGCACAUCUUCUUUCAGCUCAUAGCUUGCUGCCCUCUUCUUAGUCAAAAGAUCUUUCAUAAACUUCGCAUACCCAGGCAUUUGUUCAAGUGCCUCUACCAAUGGGACAUUAAUAGUCAGCUGCUUCAAGAUGGUCAUGAACUUGCUGAACUUAGUGUCAUCGGCCGCCUUCUUCAGUCUUUGUGGAAAAGGUGGUGGUGGGUAUGGAAGUGUUCUUUCCAUGGCUUUCUUCUCCUCUUGCUUCCGUUUAUUACUUUUUUCAGGCUGCACGUCACUAGGCAACACGUCCUUGACGUUGGAAGUGGAUAUUGCGGCGUCUUCCCUAGUGGCGUCACUAGGUGUGGCGGUUGUGUCUGCUGUUCUGUCAACUAUUUGCUUGCCUUCUGCUGAAGUUUCCAGCACCUUACCACUCCUCGUAGUGAUGGCCAUGCAUGACCCAUCAGUCCUUGGAUUUUGCACCGUAUCGCUAGGCAAGGUGCCGGCUUUUCUUUGGUUGAGUGUUGCUGAAAGUUGACUGAAUUGCUGCUCUAGUUGCUUGAUAGAAGUGGAAUGAGAAUCAACUAAUUGCUUCAUGGAGGCCAAAUCGUCAAUCACCUCCUUAACUCCCGCAUUCGUCGCUUCCACUCCUUUCAAUAACUUAGCCAUCAUGUCUUCCAUAGAAUUAGAUGUGGUGGUAUCACGUCUACCAGGGGGAACGUACAAACCACUGUUUUCAUUAUUUUUCUUCCAACUACCUUGGUCUUUACCUCCAGAUUUGUCAUAAUAGUUCCGACCUUGGUUUCCUUGGGCAUUCCCACGGAAACCCCCCUGAUUGUUCAAGUAGUUGGCCUCCUCUUCUGAAUCAGAUUCGUCUCUUCCUUUUGACGCAAUAGAUUUCACUUUUUCAGUCUUCCCUAAUAGAUGCUUUGUAAGAAGAUCCAUUUGGGUUUUCAUGUGCGCCAUAUCUUGAUCACGUUCUUCUUCUCUCCUUCUUUGAUCUGCAGACAUGCCAAUAGAUAAAGUGGGGCUUGCUACCUCAGAAUCCCUGGUAUGCCAAGCUCUACUUUGUUUCGUCAUACGAUCUAGCAUGUUGCUUGCUUGACCAAAGGUGAGGUCCAUAAAAGAACCUCCAGCUGCGUUGUCCACCACUGGUUUAGUUACUGAAUUCAAGGCUCUAUAUAAGAUCUCCAUGAGGUGAACAUUAGUCAUGUGAUGGUUUGGGCAUCUCGCUAGCUUUGUCUUGAACCUCUCCCAUGUUUCGUGAAGAGCUUCAGAGGGAAGCUGACGAAAGUUGCUGAUUUCAUCUCUCAAUUGAGCCCUCUUGGAUGGCGGAAAGAAUCUUUCUAGGAAAGCGUCUCUCAAUUGCCUCCAAUUUGUAAUAGAAUCAGGAGUCAGCCCAUUCAACCAUAAUGUUGCCUCCCCAGACAGAGACAAUGGAAAUAGACGUAAUCGAAUAGCAUUCUGACCAACUCCAGGAUUGUCAAAAGACUUGCAUGUAGAAAUAAAGUUGAUGAGAUGCAUAUUCGGAUCAUCGCCUGCUAGUCCACCAAAUAAUCCCUUGAGUUGCAAUAACUGAAUCAUGGUGCUAGUGAUGUUGAACUUGGCUCCGGGCGCUAAUGGUGGUGGAAUUAUAGCUCCAGUGGCUCCGGCACCAUCAAGAUCAUCAUCAUCAUCGUCGAAAGCUGGUUGCAAAGGUUGGCGAUCAUAUCUGUACCGAGCUUGUCGACCUCGUCUGUUGGUAGGUGUUGCCAUUUCAGCGCCAUGCCUUGGGUUGAUCAACUCGUCAUCUCCUAAAUCUUCAUCGUCAGGAUUUGUUGCUCGUCCAGGAUUAUCAAUGUUUUGUUGUUGGACUUGAGCAGCGGCAAGAGCAGCUAAUCUUGCUUGCUCAUGUUGAGCAGCCAUCCUGUCGAUUUCCGCUUGUGCUUCCAUUCUUCUGAUUCGUUGUGGUUCCGGAUUGAUUGGUAAUAACGGUUGACCAGAACUUCUAGUAUGGGGCAUGCACUAAAAGAAAAACCUGCAAUAAACAAAAACAAAAACUAAACGUAAAAGUACGAGAAUCUUUGACCAAAGGGUCUAGUAAUUUUCACGAACUUGAUUGACACUCGUAUUCCCCGGCAACGGCGCCAAUUUUUGAUAACGCUCAAUCUACAGCUCUCGUGGGAGUGUAAAGCGGUCGUUAGCAAAUAUAGAACCCAACCUGGGUUGGGUAUCGAUCCCACAGAGAAUAGCUUGGCCAACAAGCAAGAAAAAUUACUAGACUUUUAGUGCAAGUCUCGUAGGAAAGGGGGGAUUGUAGUAUGUAACCAAAACAAGAAUGUAAGAACUGAAAAUAGCAAAAUAAAGAGAGAUUGUCACGUGUGUUGUAAACAAUGAGAAUUGAGGCGUUGGGGUUAUGUCCACCUUCUGAGGUAUACGUCUCUAUUGGCUAUGAGUGUGUAGAGUCUUGACAUGUAAUUGCUUAUAGAGAAUUGUAGUCGAUGGUAAAUCCAAGCGUCUCUCGACCUAAACAAGGACUAUUUCACUUUAACUCUCUCGAGCUUAAAGCGUGACUAACGGUACGAAUUCUCCAAGAAGUUAGUCCAGGUACGGCACUAGCUUUUUAAUAGGAAAGGGUGUCCUACUACCUUGACAUUAUCUCUUUUCCAGACAAAUAACUUUUCUCUCGAACAAGUCAGAUGUUAGACUGGCGUUGGUCUAUGCGUCUUCUUUUCUAGACAAAUAACCUUUCUCUCGAACAGGUUAGAUGUUAGAAUGGCGUGUUCUUGUGUUUGAACCGCAAAGAAUGUAGAUUUAAGAUGAAGAGAAUAAUGAUAUAAGCAAUAUACUUGUCUUGAACUCACAAACUCAUAGCUAUAGAUAGUAACUCAUUCGGCUUCCAUAACCCCAACUAAGAGAUUUAGUUACCCAUGAAUGCGAAGGAUAUCACGUUUUGCAUGGUGGAUGGCGUGAAUAGUAGGUGUUUGGCGUGUGGUUUUAGUGAUUCCGUAGCAAGUAACAAUUCUCUUGUUGUGGAAUUUAAGAGUAGAAGAAUGAAGAAUUGAGAAUGGGUUGUAGGAAGAUGUCUUAAUUGUAAGGAGAUGAAUGAAUUGUCAGAAUGUCUCCCUUCUUGAAAAUCUCUAACAUGAUAGGGUAUUUAUAAUACUCCUAUCCUACUCCUACUAAACUAAUAAAAUAAAUAACCAAAUCCUAAUAUACUAAUGAAAUCCUUGACCCAAUUGUACUAGGGUAAGGUUACAAAAUUAUAAUCCAAAUAGAAUGAUGAAACACAUAACCUAAUUGCACUAGGUUAAUGUAUUAUGGCAAAAAUCCAGCUUUGUGUCUGUAAGUCCCAAAGUCUUCAGAAAUGCUGUUUUAGCCCGGGACAGAUUUUCCAUGCAGCAGAUUUAGUCCUUUAUGCGUCCAGCUCCUUUCCAUCUCGUUUGUGAGCUUUCUUUUGCGUCAAGUAAGCCAUAAAUUGCUGUAUUUUGCAUCAUUUAUACCUGAAACUUUCCUAAUCACAUUUGUUAGCUCAUUUACAGGAAAAAGGACUAAAAGUGUACGAAAUAGAUAAUUAGUUCUCGAAACUAGGCUAAAAUAUGGGCAAAAUAUAUUGAUAUAGGCGCGUAAUUUCGCCUAUCAUCAACACCCCACACUUAGAGCUUUGUUCGUCCUCGAACAACAUAUCAUGUCCUUCUAAGCAUUGACUUAAGGUUUUUACAGAAACAACACAAAACAUUCUUCAAGGUAUUUUUUAUGAACAUGCAUGCUUUAAAAUGGGGGUUUUCAAUCAAAUGCUAAUAUCUUGCUUUCAAUAUAAUUUCUAAGUCAUUUUCUUUAUGUUGUGGGAAUUGUUUGCCUAUAUACUUAAAUUAUUGAAACCAUGCAUAUGUGAUUUGAGAUUUUCCAUGGAAGUUUGAUAAAUAUGAAUGAUAAAUUGUUUUCAAAUUCCCGUGAUAAUGUUUCUAUACUCUAUAUUGUAUUGUGAACAACAAAAGAGAGCAUGAAUUUGAAAUAAAUAUUGUUCACCACUUGUAAAUGAUGAAGCACCUUGGUUUUUACAUGAUUAUGCAUAUGUGGAUGUGAUAUUGAUGACUUGCAAGUCGGGUAUGAAGAUACCCUUCAGAAUACGAUAUCAGAUUGAAUAAGAUGAAAUUUAAAUACAUUGAUUUUACAUGAGAAAGGUGGAUGCCUAAAGAAGGCAUUUGAGACACAAGGGCUCAUCAUUGGAAAACGUGUUUACCGACAUGGAAUAUUGGUACCAGGUUAAGUGAUCUUGUGUACUUGACUUCAUGUCAUUCCCAAAUUGGGACUAUAGGUAGGAGCCCAGGCUAAGUGAUCUCGGGCACUACCAUUAGGUCGAUACACCAUGCUAUGUGAUCUUGUGUGUCUCUCCCUCACUUAUACUCUAAUCUCGGCGGCAACCGAGGUUUGACAGUUGGAGUAAAUCAUGUAGGGUGUUUCACCUAGCUCAGUUGCAUUUCAUUAUUGUUGAGAAAAACUAUUGUAUUACACCCAUGUGCUUUCAAAUGAUUUGAUACGAAAUUGCUUUAUAAUGGCUCUUAACUAUGUAUUGUAAAAAUAUUAUAUUUUAUUUUGAUAUAUCUGUGUGCCAGUACUUUUGUGUUGACCCCCUUCCCUCUCUAACCACUCAGGUUCAGAGGCCCAAUUCAGGGGUCAAGAGAAUCAGUAGAUCUUUCUGUCAGAGCUGUAGAGACAAGUGGUGAGACUUCUAUGUUUCGGAAGGUCUUAUGUCCUGCAGUCCUUUUAUCUUAUAUUCAGUUUUAGGGUUUACUGGGGGCCUUGUCCUAGUUUAUAUACGGUUACUUGACUCAGUCAUUUGUUGGAUAUUUUCACAGACAGUUGUUUAGAGGUUAAUUGAUGUUGAGGGAACCUUAUCUCCCUGUUAUUGUUUCUUUUCAUAUUUAUGACCAUGUUUUUGAAUUAUUGUGUUUUUCCGCAUUACUUUGAUCAUAUGAAUUAGGUGCAUGAUUACCAGACAGAUAGGGGUAUUUUGGGCCUCCAUAGUUUGAAAUGCUCGUCACGGCCAGGCUCGGUUCAGGUCGUGACAAGCUUGGUAUCAAAGCAUAGUUCAUGGUCCUAGGGUGUCUGCGAAAUCACGUUAGAUAUACUCUUAUUUAUGGGUGUGGAGCGUGUCACACUCAUAAGCAGGAGGCUGCUAGGCAUUUAGGAAAUGUUUCCCUUCUUUUUGAUUUAGUUCGUGCUUCAGAGUCUAAACUGUACCCUAAUCAAUGAUCACUUGUGUUUCAGAAAACACAGUUAUGCCUCUACGUCGUAUCAUCGAUCAGAAUGCUCAGGAAGAUGAGGUCCGUCCUACCCAUGGGAUGUGGAACCAUAACAGGGCUCACACUCCAAAAUUUGUCCCUACUCCGGGAGUCCCUCCAAUCCCGACCAGUCCACCUCGGGCUCCGCAGACUAAUGUUAAUCGUCCCCCAACUGCUCAAGGAGAUAUUUCAAAUGCAGAAUUCAGAUGGUCUAUUCAUAGGCUGACACAAUUGGUAGCUAACUAGGCUUAAAGAUCAGAAGAUGUUGGGUCUGCAUCUGUUACAUUUGAGGCUACUAGAGUCGGUCAUUUCAUAAAGAUAAACCCACCUAAGUUCACUGGCACUAAGGUAGAGAAAGAUCCACGGGAGUUCGUGGAUGAGAUGGAAAGGAUCUUUAAGGUGAUGUAUGUGGAUGAGGUUGAGGGGGUGGAGCUAGCAACCUAUCAGCUCAAGGAUGUUGCGAAUCAGUGGUAUGCCGACUGGGAAGAUGAAAAAAGGUGAAAGUGCUGAGCCCACAGUUUGGGUCAAAUUUGUGAAAGAUUUUCUUGAUCGAUUCUUUCCUCUGGAGUUGAGGGAGGCCAAAGUGGAAGAGUUUAUGAAUCUAAAGUAGGGCAGGAUGAGUGUCCAGGAGUGCACUUUGAAGUUUAAUAAACUAGCCCGCUAUGCACCAGAGUUGACUAGUAAUAUCAGAGCCUAGAUGAGGAAGUUUGUAUCUGGCCUUGCUGAUAACCUGGUACUUGAGUGCCAGGGUGCUAUGUUGAAUAAGGAGUUAGACUUUGCUCGGCUGACCGUUCAUAUACAGUAGGUGGAUGAGAAGAAGAAAACGAUUGCUGAAUCUAGAGAGAAAGACAGAUAGGCUAAGAGAGCUAGAUCUGCGGACCAGCACCAGAGUCAGCCGCAGAGUGGUAACUGGAGUAAUAAGUGGUCAAAGAAGAAAAAGUUUUGGAAUAAUACACAAUCAGCAGCCAGUGCCCUGACACCCAGACCACCGACAGAAAGACAAACUCAGAUUUUUCAGAUUCCUCAUGGGUCCAAAGCUCUAGGUACACAGUCUUAGGGCAGUGUGGCCCAGCAGCAUCAUACUUAUCCAUGGUGUGAGGUUUGCGAAAGGAAUUAUCGAGGGAAGUGUUGGUUUGAGGGGAGAAACUGCUAUACUUAUGGCAAAGUGGGUCACCUUUAGAGAGAUUGUCCUUCUAUUGGAGGAAGGGGGGGAGGGGGGGCUAAGUCCCAAGCCGCCUUCACAGCUCCUUUUUCUAAGGGUGCCCCUUCAGCUGCCGAAAGCGUUCGCAACUGGUUAUAUUCUUUGACUAACCGCCAGGAGGCGGAAGUUUCACCAGAUGUUGUCAUCGGUAUGUUACGAAUCUUUUCUUAUGAUGUUUAUGUAUUUCUCGAUCCAGGGUCUACUUUGUCUUAUGUGACCCCUUAUGUGGCUGUUGGUUUUGGGUUUGAGCCUGAAGUUAUUCUAGAACCCUUCUCUGUUUCUACUCUUGUACGUGAUUCUGUUGUUGCUAGAAGGGUGUAUAGAAAUUGUUUCGUGUCUAUUCAUAGUAGGGAAACUAUGACAGACCUUAUAGAACUGGAUAUGAUAGAUUUUGAUGCCAUCCUUGGGAUGGGCUGGCUCCAUUUGUGUUAUGCCACCCUUGAUUGCAGAACCCGAAAGGUUAUUUUUUCUUUCCUGAAUGAGACACCAAUUGUAUGGGCAGGGAGUUCGAUAGAACCUAGAGGUCACUUUAUCUCUUAUCUUAAAGCCCGGAAGCUUGUCUCUGAAGGUUGUAUGUAUCAUCUAAUCCGAGUAAAAGAUUCAAAAGUUGGAAACCUUCCUCUGUAGUCAGUCCCUAUAGUGAACGAAUUUCCAGAAGUCUUUUCCAAAGAUCUCCCAGGGAUACCCCUGAUAGGGAGAUAGAUUUUGGCAUUGAUGUAUUGCCAGACACUCGUCCUAUUUCUAUUCCGCCAUAUAGAAUGGCUCCCACGGAACUAAAAGAGUUAAAGGAACAACUUGUAGACCUCCUAGACAAAGGUUUUAUUCAUCCUAGUGUUUCCCUAUAUGGUGCACCCGUGCUCUUCGUGCGAAAGAAGGAUGAGUCCCUUCGGAUGUGCAUAGACUACCGUCAGUUAAAUAAGGUCAUGAUUAAAAAUAAAUAUCCUCUUCCUAGGAUUGAUGACCUUUUUUACCAGCUUCAGGGUACCAAGUGUUUUUCAAAAAUAGACCUUCGUUCGGGUUAUCAUCAGUUGAAAUUUAGGGAGUUAGACAUACCCAAGACAACCUUCCGAACCCGAUAUGGUCACUACGAAUUUCUAGUCAUGUCCUUCGGGUUGACUAACACCUCUGCAGCCUUCAUGGAUCUUAUGAAUAGAGUGUUCCGUCAGUUUCUUGACUUGUUCAUUGUAUUUAUUGAUGAUAUUCUAAUCUAUUCUAAGAGUAAAGAGGAUCACGCCAAUCACCUCUGAAUUAUUCUUCAGACCCUUAAGGAUCAUUAGCUGUAUGCCAAAUUUUCUAAGUAUGAAUUCUGGUUAGACGCUAUUUGCUUCCUGGGGCAUAUUAUGUCCAGUGACGGGAUAAGAGUGGAUCCCCAAAAAGUUGAAGCAGUGAGAAAAUGGCCCAGACCCAUGACUCCAAUCGAUAUUCGGAGCUUUUUGGGUUUGGUGGGGUAUUAUAGAAGUUUCGUAGAGAGUUUUGCUUCCAUAGCUGCUCCGCUUACUAAACUGACUCAGAAAAAGAUAAAGUUUGUGUGGUCUGACUUGUGUGAAAAUAGUUUUGAGAAAUUUAAGGACAAGCUGACUACUGCUCCUGUUUUGACCCUUCCCAAGGGUGUAGAUGAUUUUGUGGUUUAUUGUGAUGCGUUCUGUAUGGGACUUGGUUGUGUAUUGAUGCAGCGUGGUAAGGUGAUAGCUAAUGCAUCUAGGCAGUUAAAGGUGCAUGAGCGCAAUUACCCCAGUCAUGACUUGGAGUUAGUAGCCAUGGUGUUUGCACUUAGAAACUAGAGGCACUAUCUCUAUGGAGUACAUGUUGAUAUUUAUGCUGACCAUAAGAGUUUUCAGUAUAUUUUCUCACAGAAAGAAUUGAACCUCAGGUAGAGGCGUUGGAUGGAGCUUUUGAAAGACUAUGAUAUGAGUCUACAUUACUAUCCGGGCAAGGCAAAUAUUGUAGCCGACGCCCUUAGCAGGUUGUCUAUGGGCAACCUUUCUCAUGUAGAAGAAGGAAAGAAAGAAAUGGUGAAGGAUAUUCAUCGCCUUGCAAAUCUGGGAGUGCGACUCUUAGAUUCUGAAGAUGGAGGGGUGAUUGUUCAUGAGUUAGCUAAGUCAUCUCUUUAUGCUAAAGUUAUGAAAAAGCAGGUUGAAGAUCCCAUCUUGGUGCAAAUAAAGAAAGAUGUGGGUCAAUAGAAGGAAAGAAAGAAAUGGUGAAGGAUAUUCAUCGCCUUGCAAAUCUGGGAGUGCGACUCUUAGAUUCUGAAGAUGGAGGGGUGAUUGUUCAUGAGUUAGCUAAGUCAUCUCUUUAUGCUAAAGUUAUGAAAAAGCAGGUUGAAGAUCCCAUCUUGGUGCAAAUAAAGAAAGAUGUGGGUCAAUAAAAGGUUAUGUCGUUUGAAAUUGGUGGUGAUGGUAUUCUGAGAUUUUAGGGUAGGUUGUGCAUUCUGAAUGUCGAUGGGCUAUGGGAAAAAAUCCUUAAUGAGGCGCACACUUUGAGGUAUGUCAUUCACCCAGGCUCUACUAAGAUGUACCAGGAUCUAAAAACCUUAUAUUGGUGGAAUAACAUGGAACGUGAUGUAGCUGAUUUUGUGUCCAAGUGUUUGAACUAUUAACAAGUGAAGGUGGAACACAUGAGGCCAGGUGGUACUUCCCAAAAGAUAGCCCUACCUUUAUAGAAGUGGGAGAUGAUAAACAUGGACUUCAUUACAGGACUUCUGAGAUCCCGAAACCAGUAUGAUUCUAUAUGGGUGAUUGUAGAUCGAUUGACCAAGUCAUCCCACUUUUUGCUUGGGAGGACUAAUUAUUCGGGAGAGGUUUAUGCUAAGAUUUACCUUGAGGAGAUAGUUUGAUUGCAUGGGGCACCAGUUUCCACUAUAUCUGAUAGACGUACGCAGUUUUCAUCUCAGUUUUGGAGAACCUUUCAGAAGUGUUUAGGUACACAAGUGAAUUUGAGCAUAGCUUUCCACCCUCAGACGGAUGGGAAAGAUGAGCGUACCAUUCAGAACCUCGAAGAUAUGUUGAGGGCAUGCGUCAUUGAUUUCAAAGGUAGUUGGGUAGAUCAUCUUCCACUGGUUGAAUUCGCUUACAAUAAUAGCUACCAUGCCAGCAUCAAGAUAGCUUUUUUUGAGGCUUUGUAUGGAAGGAGAUGUAGGUCUCCGAUAGGAUGAUAUGAAGUGGGUGAGACUCAGUUGUAUGGGCCUGAUCUUGUUCAUCAGGCGAUGGAGAAAGUGAAGAUAAUUAGAGAACGACUAAAGACUUCUCAGAGUCGUCAGAAGUCCUAUGCCAAUGUUCGGAGAAGAGAACUAGAGUUUGAAAUUGGUGAUUGGGUGUUUCUCAAGGUUUCUCCUAUGAAAGGAGUUAUGCGGUUUGGAAAAAGGGGUAAAUUAAGCCCUCUUUAUGUAGCACCAUAUCAGAUUUUGAAAAAGAUUGGUAUAGUUGCAUAUGAGUUAGAAUUGCCUGCAAGUUUGGGUUCCGUUCAUCUGGUAUUCCAUGUAUCCAUAUUGAAUAAAUUCAUUGGAGAUCAUUCUAUGGUAUUGCCAGUAGAGGGUAUCAAAGUGACAGACUCCUUGUAUUACGAAGAAGAGCCCGUUGACAUUUUAGAUUGCCAAGUUCGAAAGCUGAGGAGCAAGGAAAUAUCCUCAGUAAAGGUACUGUGGAGGAAUCAGAAAGUCGAAGAAGCAACUUGGGAGUCAGAAAAUGACAUGAGAAUUAGAUAUCCUAAUUUGUUUGCUUCGAUGGAAGAGGAGACAGAAGGUACUAUUCCUAUCUUAUCUUUCCUAGUCCUUUAUUAUGCUUGAAAUCGUGUCUUUCUAUGUCCCGCAUCAUCAUUCGGGGAUGAAUAAUCCUAAGGGGAGAUAAUGUAAUGCCCCGUAAUUCGGGCUAUCAUAUAGACCAUAAUUUUGAUGCAUUGUUAAUCCCGAAGCCAUAAAAUCCUAUGCUGAUACGGCAUGUUAAUUAUUGUGUGGCAUGUGAAUCCACUCAAGCUUUAGUUUAGACCAUAGAGGUCCUUCAACUCAAGGACAAGUUGAAACUAUUACGAUCGACUAAGUUUUAGUGGAUGUUGUAAAGUGUGUCAGCUUCCAUCGACCAUAACUCUCUAUAUAUGUCGAAUUAGAGAGCCUACUAUGUUUCAAAUGAUAGGUAUUCAAGUUAGCUUUCCAACAAUACCAAUUUGGCUUAAAAGCCGACACCCGAGCAAGAAGUUAUGGCCCUUUAAAGUGAUAAGCGUCGCCUAACCAAUCGCCCAUGGCCACUGGAAAGCAUAGGCAAUAGCCUAUGCGGCGCCUAUGUAAACAUAGGCGAUAGCCUAGGCGGCACCUAUGUGAACAUAGGCAAUGGGAUGGGCUGCGCCUAUGUAAACAAUUCUAGUGACUUAAACACUCCGUGUUGAGGAAUAAGUGGUCCUUUUCCACCCUUACUUAGCCCUAAAAUACGAAAUCUAGUUCCAAGGACCCCAAAAUACAUAUUCUUUCAUCAAAAGUGCUUAAGGAUUCUCCUUAGGGUUUCAAAAUAAAAACCCAAAUAGUUCAAGAUUUGACCGUAGAUUUUCAAAGAUAAUUACAUAUUUGGAAUCACCAAUCUGCAAGCUUCAAGAAACAUCUAUUAUCCUGGGAAAUAGAGGUACGUGGGGUUAUCCAAAAAUCUCAUGGGUGUAGUUUUUAUGAACAUGCAUGCUUUAAAAUGGGGGUUUUCAAUCAAAUGCUAAUAUCUUGCUUUUAAUAUGUUUUCUAAGUCAUUUUCUUUAUUUUGUGGGAAUAGUUUACCUAUAUACUUCAAUGGUUGAAACCAUGCAUAUGUGAUUUGAGAUUUUCCAUGGAAGUUUGAUAAAUAUGAAUGAUAAAUUGUUUUCAAAUUCCCAUGAUAAUGUUUCGAUACUCCAUAUUGCAUUGUGAUCAACAAAAGAGAGCAUGAAUUUGAAAUAAAUAUUAUUCACCACUUGUAAAUGAUGAAGCACCUUGGUUUUUACAAGAUUAUGCAUAUGUGGAUGUGAUAUUGAUGACUUGCAAGUUGGGUUUGAAUAUACCCUUCAGAAUACGAUAUGUGAUUGAAUAAGAUGAAAUUUGAAUGCAUUGAUUUUACAUGAGAAAGGUGGAUGCCCGAAGAAGGCGCUUGAGACACAAGGGCUCAUCAUUGGAAAACGUGUUUACCGACAUGGAAUAUUGGUACCAGGCUAAGUGAUCUUGUGUACUUGACUUCAUGUCAUUCCCAAAUUGGGACUAUAGGUAGGAGCCCGGGCUAAGUGUUCUUGGGCACUACCAUUGGGUCGAGACACCAUGCUUUGUGAUCUUGUGUGUCUCUCCCUCACUUAUACUCCAAUCUCGGUGGCAAUCGAGGUUUGACAGUUAGUGUAAAUUAUGUAGGGUAUUCCACCUAUCUUAGCUGCAUUUCAUUAUUGUUGAGAAAAACUAUUGUAUUACACCCAUGUGCUUUCAAAUGAUUUGAUACGAAAUUGCUUUAUAAUGGCUCUUAACUAUGUAUUGUAAAAAUAUUAUGUUUUGUCUUGAUAUCUCUGCGUGCCAGUACUUUUGUGCUGACCCCCUCCCUUCUCCAACCUCUCAGGUUCAGAGGCCCAGUCUAGGGGUCAAGAGAAUCAGUAGAUCUUUCUGUCAGAGCUGUAGAGACAAGUGGUGAGCUUUCUAUGUUUCGGAAGGUCUUAUGUCCUGCUGUCCUUUUAUCUUAUAUUCAGUUUUAGGGUCUACUGGGGGCCUUGUCCUAGUUUAUAUACGGUUACUUGACUCAGUAAUUUGUUAGAGAUUUUCGCAGAUAUUUAUUUAGAGGUUAAUUGAUGUUGAGGGAACCUUUUCUCCCCGUAAUUGUUUCUUUUCAUAUUUAUGACCAUGUUUCCAAAUUAUAGUGUUUUUCCGCAUUACUUUGAUCAUAUGAAUUAGGUGCAUGAUUACCAGACAAAUAGGGGUGUUUCGGGCCUCCAUGGUUCGAAAUGUUCGUCACAGCCAGGCCCCGGUUUGGGUUGUGACAAUCGGAGUAAUAAAAGAUCAAAAAAACCUAUAUGAAAUAAUACAAAUCCUAGGAAAACUAGAAAUAAUUGGAAAGAAACUCUUGAAGCACUAGGACUCUAAUCAAAUUACCUAUAAAUUAGAAAUAAUCAAUCUAGAAUAUACUAUAAAGACAACAUCUAUAAAAGCUACAAAUGAAGAUCUUAAAGAUUUUAAAGUACAAAUAAAGGAACUGUUAGAAUUAGGGAUAAUUAGGAGAUCCAAGUCAAGACAUAGAUGAACAACUCUCAUAGUAAGAAACCAUAGUGAAAUGGUACGAGGGAAAGCUAGAAUGGUAAUAAAUUACAAAAGACUAAAUGAUAAUACUACUAUGGAUUGAUAUAAGUUACCAGACAAAACAGAAUUAAUAAAUAGAAUACAAGGAAGAAAAGUAUUUAGUAAGUUCAAUUAUAAAUCUGGAUAUUGGAAAAUUAAGAUGCACGAGGAUAGUAUAGAAUGGACAGCUUUCACAUGUCCAGAAGGGCAUUUUGAAUGGCUAGUUAUGUCGUUCGGACUAAAAACAGCUCCUCCAAUUAUCCAAAGAAAAAUAAAUUGUAUUUUUUUGUAAUUAUAAGAAUUUUGUAUUAGUAUAUGUAGAUGACAUUUUAGUUUUCAGUAAUAACAUGAGAGAACAUCUAGGACAUUUACAACAAGUCUUUAAAUUGUUUGUAGACAAUGGAAUAAUAAUAAGUAGAAAGAAAAUGGAACUAUACAAAAAUAAUAUUAAUUUUCUAGGAGUAGUCAUUGGGGAUGGUAGACUAAAACGACAACCACACAUAGCUAAGAAUGUCUUACAAAUGCUAGAUAGAUUAGAUAAGACCAAGGAUUUGCAAAAAAUUUUAGGACUACUAAAUUAUGCUGAAACUUUCAUUAACGAUUUAGGAAAGGUAGCAGAGAUGCUAUAUUCUAAAAUUGGAUCAACAUGCUAGAAGAUUUUAAUGCUGAAGAUAUAAAAUUAGUCCAACAGCUUAAACACGUGAUCCAAGAUAUCCCAGAAUUGACACUGCCAUUAAAAAUAGACUAUUUAACAGUCGAAACUGAUUGAAGUCUUCGAGGAUGGAGAGCAAUAUUAAAAGCAAAACCUAAUAAAUACAGUGAGAAGAAAGAUGAGAAAAUUUUUGCUUACUCAAGCAUAAAAUAUAAGAAAAAAGGAAAUCUGAGUAGGAUAGACAUGGAAACCCUAGCAGUAAUCUACAAUUUAAAUAGUUUUAAGCUUUAUAUACAAAAUAAACCUGAAAUAUUAGUUAGAACUGACUGCGAAACUAUAGUAAAAUUCUUUCAAAAAAUAAAAGAAAAGAAUAGUAGUAAAAUGAGGUGGAUAACAUUAUGCUGGAAAUUAUUAAAGGAAAAGGUAAUAACCUAGAAAAUCAAGUUAGUAGACUAAUAAAAUACAACUAAUGAGUUUUGUUUCAGUAUGUAUACAGGCUAGGGAAAAGGUAAGGCUGAGGCCUUGUCCUCCCAAGACUAUCUGAGGAAUUUAAUGAGCAAUACUUAUUAAAGACCACUUACAAUGUUGGAACAUCUGAAAUUAGAAAGGAUAAUUUUCGGGCCGCACAACUUGAUCAGUUAUGAGCGCUCCAACCUGACUUUCAAGAUUAGACCAGACGUGCGAGUGGACAAAAAACAAAUAUUACUGAUCAACAAUUUAUGGAUAUCUUACAAUAAGACACCCAAAACCAAUAGAUAUUUCAUUUCAGUCCUAAAUACUUUAAGUUAUUAUUUUACUGAGAAGAAUAACACUAAUAGAUUUUAAUUUUAUGUUGUUCUUAGGGGACAAACACAAGGAGUAUUUCAGACAUGGAUAGAGGUGAUCGACUCUAUAAAAUACUAUACAAUUCUUCUAUAUAAGAAUUUCAAUGACCUCACAGAGGCAUUAGACUAUGCUCGAGGAAAUCUAGGGCCAACUAUUAUAUUAAUCAGCUUUAAGACCAACUAUGAAAGAAGUUUCAGAAUAUAAUAUAAAAAAGAUACAAGAUAAAAUCAUAUUAUGUGAUCAUUGUUCUUCGAUGAACGAAACUUUUAGAAGACUAAAUCAUGCAAAUGAGGCUUUAAGACAAGACAAUGAGAACCUUAUAAAUGAAAAAGUACAAAUGAUAGAACAUAUAGGACUUUUACAAGAUCGUAUUAAAGUUCUUCAUUAUGAAUUAUCCCAGCAGACUCAAUAGACCUAUGAAACUCAAAUAGUUCCAAAGAGUUCUCCAUCUUCUUUAAAAAUAGAUAAGAAGGGUGUGCAUUCCUCAAUGAAUGUAGAAAGACCUACUGUAUCGGGUAAUGAUACAGCUAGUCCAGUUCAAACUGGUAAGGACUCACCAAAUCCGUUAAUAUCUGACACUUUGCCAAAAAGUGUAGGGAGAAUUCUCCCAACUAGUUUCAAAAUAAUAGGUUCCCAGACACUAGACAAAAGAAUGUCUUUGUCUACCCAAGACAAAAAUAAGAAAGGUUUCUACCUGCGAAGAAGGAAAAUUGAUAAAACAAAUAUAAAACAAAUAGUAGUAGUCUCUACCAAAUAAUUACUAGCAGAACAACCUAAAGAAACAGUAAUGGAAAAUCCAAAGCCUGAGCCAAGAUCCAUAAUUUUCUUAAUACCAGAAAAGGAAAUAAGACUUAGAAAUGGAACAAGUCUAGGACUUUUGAGUGGAGAUAAUGAAUAAAAUAAUCCAACAAUGGAAUAUGACUAUAACUUAGCUAUGGAUCAAUUCUCUCAAGACCCAAAUGUAGACGAUGACUCUGGAAUGAGUUUCUUUCCAGAAGCAUUGCACAAUUUGGAAACGUAAGCAGUGACGAUACUCAUGAGAAGAAAAAAUUCAAGGUGUAGGCAAUAAUGUAAAGGAUGAAUAAUUGAUGUUAAGUGGAAAACAAAUGGACAAAUAUGAACUAAAAAUAAAACAUGACCAUGUAACGACGGGGCUCACAAAGUGUACCCAACAUGCAAAAGUUUCUUAAACACAUCUGAAGUCCGAAAUUAAGGCCUGCCUGACGCCUAUAAAUACCCACUUCUUUAAACUUAAGAAAAUAGAGUGAAAGAGAAGUUAGAAUGCAAGAACUUAAGAGUAUAUACAAGAGUGGGUAUUUUUUAUUUUCUAAAUCUGUUUCCAAGUUUUUUUAAAAAAAAGUAAGUUGUGUAUGGUUUUUAAGUUCUUUGAACCGUAGCUGCAAAGUUUUUUGAGGCUCCUAAAAGCGAAACCUCUCUUCACCUUAAGACUUGUAAAUAGUUGUUAUUUAAGAUCAUUGUAUCUUUUCUCCCUAUUAUGUAAAUUAUGUUUGUAAUAUAAAAUUUCAUGAACUCUUUUGAAUUCUAGUAAAUUGCUUGAUAUACCCCCCCCCAGUAUAUGGUUAGUAUCUCAGUGUUUCAACAAUAACGGUGGAUUAAUCUAUAAAUUCUUAGGAAUUUGAAAAGUACAAAGAAGAUUUGAAAGGACUGAAAAAGAUUUGAAAGGACUGUUGUGCUGUCCCCGAG